rnacentral:rRNA from 1 species
UACAGAGGUCCCGAGCGUUGUUCGGAUUCACUGGGCGUAAAGGGUGCGUAGGUGGCUUAGAAAGUUUGAUGUGAAAGCUCAGGGCUUAACCCUGAAAUGGCAUUGAAUACUGCUGAGCUGGAGGUUUGGAGGGGGGACUGGAAUUCUUGGUGUAGCAGUGAAAUGCGUAGAUAUCAAGAGGAACACCAGUGGCGAAAGGCGACGUCCCUGGACAACACCUGACACUGAGGCACGAAAGCUAGGGGAGCAAACAGG